rnacentral:tmRNA from 1 species
GGGGCCGACCUGGUUUCGACAGGGGUUAUGAAGUAAUCAGGGCAUGCCGAGGACCCGUCACCUCGUUAAUCAAUGGGAAAAACGUAAC